rnacentral:rRNA from 1 species
UGGACUGACACUGACACUGAGGUGCGAAAGCGUGGGUAGCAAACAGGAUUAGAUACCCUGGUAGUCCACGCCGUAAACGAUGUCGACUAGCCGUUGGGUCCCUUGAGGACUUUGUGGCGCAGUUAACGCGAUAAGUCGACCGCCUGGGGAGUACGGCCGCAAGGUUAAAACUCAAAUGAAUUGACGGGGGCCCGCACAAGCGGUGGAGCAUGUGGUUUAAUUCGAUGCAACGCGAAGAACCUUACCUACCCUUGACAUCGUGCGAACUUGGUAGAGAUACCUUGGUGCCUUCGGGAGCGCACAGACAGGUGCUGCAUGGCUGUCGUCAGCUCGUGUUGUGAAAUGUUGGGUUAAGUCCCG